ACGGGAGGCAGCAGUGGGGAAUAUUGCGCAAUGGGGGCAACCCUGACGCAGCAACGCCGCGUGAAGGAAGAAGGUCUUCGGAUUGUAAACUUCUGUCGCAAGGGAAGAAACAAAUGACGGUACCUUGUGAGAAAGUCACGGCUAACUACGUGCCAGCAGCCGCGGUAAUACGUAGGUGACAAGCGUUGUCCGGAUUUACUGGGUGUAAAGGGCGCGUAGGCGGGCUUGCAAGUCAGUUGUGAAAUACCGAAGCUUAACUUCGGGGCUGCAAUUGAAACUGUAAGUCUUGAGUGUCGGAGAGGAAAGCGGAAUUCCUAGUGUAGCGGUGAAAUGCGUAGAUAUUAGGAGGAACACCAGUGGCGAAGGCGGCUUUCUGGACAGAUACUGACACUGAGGCACGAAAGUGUGGGGAGCAAACAGGAUUAGAUACCCUGGUA
rnacentral:rRNA from 1 species